AGGCUAUGCUUUACCUGUCACUAUAGUGUCUGUCAGAAAGCCAUCUAACCAACUAUGAUUCUGCCCAAGGACCAUGGCAACUAGUCUCUUUAAUCCUAUAUGGAGAUCUUCCUUAAAGGCCUCUGUGUAGAAUUCCUGAUCAUGACUUCUAGUCAUAUCCUGUACACAAACACUCAUGGUAUGUUCUAUGACUUCCUUUUCAGCAAUACGUGCUGCUGGCCACGUCCAGGUACUCGAAGUGUCCAGCUGGAGUCCAUUAUUCUUUGCACCCUUCUGAAUACAAUCCCGAAGCAGAGCUGUUGGCUGAGACAUGCAGUCCAAGAUUAUCUUCACAACCCAGCACAUGUUCAAACAUGUGACAUGCUCAGCAAAUUCUCUCCUAAUUGCGCUUUCAUAGCCUUUGAAGACUACUGGGUCCUCCACCAGGUCAUCAAGGGUCCAAAUACUCAGGGUUUCAGGAUUGCCUAACAUGGCAGUCCGUAGCCGCUGGAGUGUUUUCAGUGAGACACAGGUAUCGGUGUGUGGCCUGAUCUUUAUAGGUACCAGGGAAAACUUAUAAUUUGUCAGGGAUUCAGCCAACAAUUCACAGUUCUCACAGUCACAUGAAUAUUCUAUCAGAUCCUUCAAUCUAGCAGCCACUGUUGCAAACAUUUCAUCCACUGUAAAAGCUGGUGAGGCUGGGAAGUUAUGAAAAAAUAAGAGCUGGCACACAAAGAAGGCAGCACUUAGCACCUCAUUACAGUUUUCAUUUUCAGGCCAUUUAUGAACAGAAGGCAACUUCUUGAACAGAGUGAGAAGGGCAGGCACAUAACAAAAUUCCCUGGAAUCAUAGAUUUUUUUAGCAUCUGCCACGACCUGAGAUAUAUCAGUACAAUUUGAAAGAUUCUUAAGUAUGUUCAUAAAUUUCUCAUACUGUUCCUUUUCUCUGUCAGAUGUGACCAUGAGAAUUGAAACCUGCUGGCAACCACCACCUUCACGGGUUUCAAGGUCCAUUUUUGAACACAUUAUCCCACAAUGUGCUGCAGUCUGCAAGAAAUAAUAGCCUCCCACUUUUAUGGAAAUCUGGUAGCUCCUCCUACAUGAGUCAUGAAAUGUCCCUUCAAAGGCUGAGGAGAGAGCACAACUCUUUUCAAUCUACACUCAAAAAUACAACUCCUGCACUACGAGGGAAUUUCUGCAGCGAUGGCCUCUGACUCGGAUUCCCCUUCAGCCGAUAAGGACUGGCACGGAUCGAAGCAGGUCUACUUGAGCCAGUUGAUUGGAGUCUCUGCUGAAACAAAAGAGGAAUUUCAGCAACUGGUAGAUCUAUUUAUAUGCUUCCUACAGCACCCUGAAGAUGGUUUGAAUGCUCUGCAGUAUGUCAAGAAUUUGGAACUUGCUCUUCGGCGUCUGCAGUCAGACAGUCUCAAACAUGGGCCUUUGUCUGGGUUAAUAUUUGACCUGAACUUCUACAAUGUCUGGGUAAUGUUCAGAAACCAGAAGGUGAGGUUUAAUGCCAAAGUCCAUAACAGGCAUCCAUGUGGGUACAUAUCUCACCACCUGAUCAAAUAUGCCAUUGAAAGAGUUGUCUAUACCACAGACAGGCUGUUUCUGACUGCCCCAUGUUCGGGGGUACAGCUACCUCAACCUCUGGCCUGCAGUCUGUUCGAAAUACUCAAGGAUGUUAGAGGAAAAUGCACAACGGCCUGGAGGCGCUUAGGGGCAGGCCGCAGACAUUUAAUGACAUUUGGGCGCAAUGUGUUGGAUGAAUUUAAUUCUGAGAAGAAGUCACCUGGUGGCAUAUCCAGAGAAGUUGAGGCAUUUAUAAAGAUAUGCUUUCCACAAAUGGACUUAAAUAAAAUUUUAAUUCCAAUUUAUCAGCACGCCAUCAACAUCCCACCAGACUGUGUACCCAGCUGUACUAUUGGAGAUGGAAACAGAAAACGAGCCCCCCACGGUUCGCUAUACAGUAAAGACAUAUCCUCACAAAAGUUCUGCAUCCCAGACCCCCUGUUUGCUUCUCCCACAGAACCAGGGUUGGGGGAGUUGCAUAGGGGUAAUAUGGCACAUUUGCUGCAGAACCCAGAAGAAAUCAUUAACCUGGACCCUCUACACAAUACCACUGAACCCUGUUUGUAUCAAAUGUUUUCAGAGGCGGUGACAAACCCCUCUAAAAAAAGAUGGCUUUCUUCUUUCAACAUGGUCUUUUCAGGACUGUCUCCGAGAGCUCGGCCAGAGACCACUUAUGAACCAUUGGGGCCAUUUUCACCCAUUAGCCCUGGCCCUUCUUCCGCCACAGAAGAGUUCCAGUUUGAAUUUAGCCCUUCUCCUCAAACCUCCCCAGAAACAAGCGAGCAGAGCUACAUACCUACUCCCAACUCAGCUAUGGGCGGAUCCUUUGAGUACACAGGCGCCGUUCAACCACAACUAAUUCCAGAUAAUCACACCUGUUCCGCAAAGAGAUUAAGGGAGAGCGAUGAGGAGGUAAAUUAUUCUUCAGACGGUAGUCCAAACAAGAAACCCACAGCUCGCACUUCUGGGCACGAACAGGCUUAUGGUUUUCUGGCCGAGUUGCUCUCUAGCCACAGGGAUACGCCUGUCCAGCAUAUUGUGCAAUCUGGCUCAACGCCCGCCCCGCCAAUUGUUGAGCCUCAGGGACAAGAUUUUGUUGGAAAACAGGAUGAGACAUGUUCCAACGUGUUCCCAGAACAAAUUACUCAGGAAGCGUGUCCCGGAUCAUCUGAGGACGCGUUCAUCGAUGAUGCUAUAAAGGAAAUAUUUGCAUCGCUGGACUCUAUGGCAAACCAGGACACUGCUGACAGUGACACAUGUUCCAUACUUGACCCCCAAUCACCCACUCCCCCACCCUCCGUUCCCCCAAUAACUACACUCUCGUUGUAUGACAUUUAUGCCAGCAUACUUAGUCCACUCGACCCAAACAGCCUGGAGUCAUAAACGGUGCCAAAUACAAGACAUUUCUAAAUCCUUAAGUAUAAUGUUUAUAUUUAACUGAAUAAAAGAAGUGACGCUAUAAAACCCUCAA
rnacentral:tmRNA from 1 species